UACGUAGGGUGCAAGCGUUAAUCGGAAUUACUGGGCGUAAAGCGUGCGCAGGCGGUUUUGUAAGUCUGUCGUGAAAGCCCCGGGCUCAACCUGGGAAUUGCGAUGGAGACUGCAAGGCUUGAAUCUGGCAGAGGGGGGGUAGAAUUCCACGUGUAGCAGGUGAAAUGCGUAGAGAUGUGGAGGAACACCGAUGGCGAAGGCAGCCCCCCUGGGUCAAGAUUGACGCUCAUGCACGAAAGCGUGGG
rnacentral:rRNA from 1 species